GCCUCGUGUAGGAAAUAUGGUGUGCGGAGUGCUUGUUGUGGCUUCCGCUAGUUUCACCACAGUGUAUACUGCAGUGCAUGGAUUGGGGAGUGUUCCUGGUGUUUAUGACUACAUGGAAGAUGUUUACAUCAAGCCCUAUUUUCGCAUCUCGACGUAUCUUGCUGGCAUUCUUUUGGGCAAAUACAUUGUAGCCAACAAAGAGAGCAUCUCGACUACAAAAUGCAAUAGUCGCUUAGGCUGGUUGUGCUGCAUUAUCUGCCUACUGUUCGCCGUUUUUGGCCUAAGAAUUAUGAAUCCUCCUUUGGAAAGUCCCUUGCGUGGAGCUUUCAAUGCUUGUGCGCCAACUGUGUGGUGUCUCGGGUUGGCUUGGAUUGUGUACUCG